ACCCUGUGUGGAUGACGGUACCGGAAUAAGAAGCACCGGCUAACUACGUGCCAGCAGCCGCGGUAAUACGUAGGGUGCGAGCGUUAAUCGGAAUUACUGGGCGUAAAGCGUGCGCAGGCGGUUUGGUAAGUCAGAUGUGAAAUCCCCGGGCUCAACCUGGGAACUGCAUUUGAGACUGCCAAGCUGGAGUUUGGCAGAGGGGGGUGGAAUUCCACGUGUAGCAGUGAAAUGCGUAGAGAUGUGGAGGAACACCGAUGGCGAAGGCAGCCCCUGGGCCAAUACUGACGCUCAUGCACGAAAGCGUGGGGAGCAAAACAGGAUUAGAUACCCUGGUAGUCCACGCCCUAAACGAUGUCAACUAGGUGUUGGGGAGGGUUAAAACCUUUUAGUGCCGUAGCUAACGCGUGAAGUUGACCGCCUGGGGAGUACGGCCGCAAGGCUAAAACUCAAAGGAAUUGACGGGACCCGCACAAGCGGUGGAUGAUGUGGAUUAAUUCGAUGCAACGCGAAAAACCUUACCUACCCUUGACAUGUCAGGAAUCC
rnacentral:rRNA from 1 species